UACAGAGGUCUCAAGCGUUGUUCGGAUUCAUUGGGCGUAAAGGGUGCGUAGGCGGCGCGGUAAGUCGGGUGUGAAAUCUCGGAGCUUAACUCCGAAACUGCAUUCGAUACUGCCGUGCUUGAGGACUGGAGAGGAGACUGGAAUUUACGGUGUAGCGGUGAAAUGCGCAGAUAUCAGGAGGAACACCGGUGGCGAAGGCGGUUCUCUGGGCAUUACCUGACGCUGAGGAGCGAAAGUGUGGGGAGCGAACAGG
rnacentral:rRNA from 1 species